UUAAUAUUAUCCUAAUCGUUUAAUAAUUCAAUCGAAAUGAUCGAGUCACAUUUUUAGAUGACUCUGGUACAUUAAGAAAGAUAUAAGGUUUAGAAAGACGAGAUUCUCUCGAUGAGGCUGUCUCGAUCAUCUGGAAAAAAGAAGAUACUGCAGAGGAUCCAAUAAAUUUCUUUUUCAUCCGGAUCAUUUGUCCUCCUGGAUAUAAAGGAACGCGAUUCUCGGGAUUUAGUAUCUGGACAGGCUGGCGCCCGCGUGUGGUGACCCAAGACGAUUCGACCUUCCAAGGACGCAAAACACAUCGUCGACAAGCAACCUCUCUCCUCUCUUCUCCUUUGCAUAUCGCGUGCAGCGUCGUCUUCCCGACUUGUUUCUCUCCAGGAGAGCGUAGGUGAGCUACAAGAUCGUAAAUACUACCAAUCGGAUUACAUUACGUGACGAAAA